rnacentral:rRNA from 1 species
AGAUUGAACGCUGGCGGCAUGCCUUACACAUGCAAGUCGAACGGCAGCACGGGAGCAAUCCUGGUGGCGAGUGGCGAACGGGUGAGUAAUAUAUCGGAACGUGCCCAGUCGUGGGGGAUAACGUAGAGAAAUUUACGCUAAUACCGCAUACGAUCCAAGGAUGAAAGCGGGGGACCGUAAGGCCUCGCGCGACUGGAGCGGCUGAUAUCAGAUUAGCUUGUUGGUGAGGUAAAAGCUCACCAAGGCGACGAUCUGUAGCUGGUUUGAGAGAACGACCAGCCACACUGGGACUGAGCACGGCCCAGACUCCUA